GAUGAACGCUGGCGGCGUGCCUAAUACAUGCAAGUCGAGCGAACAGAUGAGGAGCUUGCUCCUCUGACGUUAGCGGCGGACGGGUGAGUAACACGUGGAUAACCUACCUAUAAGACUGGGAUAACUUCGGGAAACCGGAGCUAAUACCGGAUAAUAUAUUGAACCGCAUGGUUCAAUAGUGAAAGACGGUUUUGCUGUCACUUAUAGAUGGAUCCGCGCCGCAUUAGCUAGUUGGUAAGGUAACGGCUUACCAAGGCAACGAUGCGUAGCCGACCUGAGAGGGUGAUCGGCCACACUGGAACUGAGACACGGGCCAGACUCCUACGGGAGGCAGCAGUAGGGAAUCUUCCGCAAUGGGCGAAAGCCUGACGGAGCAACGCCGCGUGAGUGAUGAAGGUCUUCGGAUCGUAAAACUCUGUUAUGAGGGAAGAACAAAUGUGUAAGUAACUAUGCACGUCUUGACGGUACCUAAUCAGAAAGCCACGGCUAACUACGU
rnacentral:rRNA from 1 species